AAGCUCGUAGUUGAAUUUCGGACCUGGCUGGGCGGUCCGCUUAACGGCGUGUACUGUCUGGCUGGGCCUUACCUCUUGGUGAGCCGGCGUGCCCUUUAUUGGUGUGCGUCGGGGAACCAGGACUUUUACCUUGAGAAAAUUAGAGUGUUCAAAGCAGGCCUAUGCCCGAAUACAUUAGCAUGGAAUAAUAAAAUAGGACGUGUGGUUCCAUUUUGUUGGUUUCUAGAGUCGCCGUAAUGAUUAAAGGGAUAGUUGGG
rnacentral:rRNA from 1 species